rnacentral:tRNA from 1 species
GUCUCCAUAGCUCAGUGGUAGAGCAUGCGAUUGCAGUGGACUUGUUGCCUAUAAGUAUCGCAGGGACAGGUGUUCAAACCACCUUGGGGACU